AUUGAACGCUGGCGGCAGGCCUAACACAUGCAAGUCGAGCGGAUGAAGGGAGCUUGCUCCUGGAUUCAGCGGCGGACGGGUGAGUAAUGCCUAGGAAUCUGCCUGGUAGUGGGGGAUAACGUCCGGAAACGGGCGCUAAUACCGCAUACGUCCUGAGGGAGAAAGUGGGGGAUCUUCGGACCUCACGCUAUCAGAUGAGCCUAGGUCGGAUUAGCUAGUUGGUGGGGUAAAGGCCUACCAAGGCGACGAUCCGUAACUGGUCUGAGAGGAUGAUCAGUCACACUGGAACUGAGACACGGUCCAGACUCCUACGGGAGGCAGCAGCGGGGAAUAUUGGACAAUGGGCGAAAGCCUGAUCCAGCCAUGCCGCGUGUGUGAAGAAGGUCUUCGGAUUGUAAAGCACUUUAAGUUGGGAGGAAGGGCAGUAAGUUAAUACCUUGCUGUUUUGACGUUACCAACAGAAUAAGCACCGGCUAACUGCGU
rnacentral:rRNA from 1 species